GCGGGCGCGGCGCAGGCCACGGCUGGCAGCCUCGUGACGCUGGGGACUCAGACAAACGGCUUCAGAUUCCCAAGCUGAAUGUCGGGAGUUCGAUCCUCCUCGCCCGCU
rnacentral:tRNA from 1 species